rnacentral:rRNA from 1 species
GACGAACGCUGGCGGCGUGCUUAACACAUGCAAGUCGAACGGAAAGGCCCUGCUUUUGUGGGGUGCUCGAGUGGCGAACGGGUGAGUAACACGUGAGUAACCUGCCCUUGACUUUGGGAUAACUUCAGGAAACUGGGGCUAAUACCGGAUAGGAGCUCCUGCUGCAUGGUGGGGGUUGGAAAGUUUCGGCGGUUGGGGAUGGACUCGCGGCUUAUCAGCUUGUUGGUGGGGUAGUGGCUUACCAAGGCUUUGACGAGCAGCCGGCCUGAGAGGGUGACCGGCCACAUUGGGACUGAGAUACGGCCCAGACUCCUACGGGAGGCAGCAGUGGGGAAUAUUGCACAAUGGGCGGAAGCCUGAUGCAGCAACGCCGCGUGCGGGAUGACGGCCUUCGGGUUGUAAACCGCUUUCGCCUGUGACGAAGCGUGAGUGACGGUAAUGGGUAAAGAAGCACCGGCUAACUACGUG